rnacentral:sRNA from 1 species
AGAGCUGGGAGAGAUGGAUCGAUGGUUGAGCAUUGCAAUAAGAAUGUGGUGCAUCAGCCAUGCACAACUGCGUUCCUAUACAGGCCAUAUAAUCAUCUCUCACUGAUUGUUGCAUGUAGUCACUAUUAUGUCAGCAAGCAAGGGAACAAAAGCAUAACCUUUUUCUUGAUCCCUACCAUUCCAAUCACAUUGUACCAUGGUUGCUCAUGCAUCUAGGUUUUUUUUGCCAUACCCUUAAAGAUGUGGCAUAGAGCCAUAGAGGAAAGAUGCAGACGCACAUGUUAGGCUUUUUCUCUGUAUGCAUAUAUGAACUCAUGAGAGUUACUGCAUAUGAAAUCAUUAUUCUCCAAUUCUCCUCACGAACUUUAAAGACUCGUAGCUACUCCAUUCGUUUCAUAUUAUAAAUAAGUUAAUUUAAAUAUUUUU